rnacentral:rRNA from 1 species
UAGGGAAUUUUGCGCAAUGGGCGAAAGCCUGACGCAGCAACACCGCGUGAGGGAUGAAGCUUCUUGGAGUGUAAACCUCUGUCAGUGGGGACGAAACCUGACGGUACCCACAAAGGAAGCAUCGGCUAACUACGUGCCAGCAGCCGCGGUAAGACGUAGGAUGCAAGCGUUGUCCGGAAUCAUUGGGCGUAAAGAGUUCGUAGGCGGUGUAUCAAGUCUGGUGUUAAAGCCCGAGGCUCAACCUCGGUUCGGCACUGGAUACUGGUACGCUAGAGUGCAGUAGAGGCAAGGGGAAUUCCCAGUGUAGCGGUGAAAUGCGUAGAUAUUGGGAGGAACACCAGUGGCGUAAGCGCCUUGCUGGGCUGUUACUGACGCUGAGGAACGAAAGCCGGGGGAGCAAAUG